AAUGAGACUCCUCUCUGAUUGGUUUCUACCACUUGGCUCGCUUGCUACUAAAGCUCAGGCACCUUGGCGUGCGCGCUCGAGGGCGUUCCUCUGUCUCUGUCUCAUCUCCAUCUACAGAGUGACCUCACGUGCCUUUCUCAGCCCUUCCACAUCCAGCAGGAGCCUGGCUGAGCACCCCAGCUGGGCUGUGAAGAUGCCGAGAGGGGAGAGCAUUCUGGGUG
rnacentral:lncRNA from 1 species